UGGGCUAUAGCCAAGCGGUAAGGCAAUGGGUUUUGGUCUCAUGAUGCGCUGGUUCGAAUCCAGCUAGCCCAG
rnacentral:tRNA from 1 species